UACGGAGGGUGCGAGCGUUGUCCGGAAUCACUGGGCGUAAAGGGUGCGCAGGUGGGUUUGCAAGUUCGAUGUGAAAGCCCCGGGCUUAACCCGGGAAUGGCAUUGGAUACUGCAGAUCUGGAGGAUCGGAGGGGGGACUGGAAUUCUUGGUGUAGCAGUGAAAUGCGUAGAUAUCAAGAGGAACACCAGUGGCGAAGGCGACUACCUGGCCUGUUCUUGACGCUGAGGCGCGAAAGCUAGGGGAGCAAACGGG
rnacentral:rRNA from 1 species